UUCUUUUUCAUUAUAGGUUAUUACAAGAUAUUGAAUAUAGUUCUCUGUGCUAUACAGUAGGGCCUUGUUUAUCUAUGCUGUAUAUAGUAGUGCGUAUCUGCUAAUCCCAUACUCCUAAUUUAUCCCUUCCUCACCCCCUUUCCCCUUUGGUAACCAUAAGUUUGUUUCCUAUGUCUGUGAGUCUCUUUCUGUUUUUUAAAUCAUGAUCAUUC